AUUCGAACGGCAGGCGGGAAGUGCUCUAGCAGGGGAGUCUGACCUUGUGAGGGAAUACCUGUGUCCCCCCUUUUUUCCCCUUUUUACCCAAUAAAACCCUGCCUUACUCACCCUUUAAAUCAUCUGCGAGCCUGAAUUUUCAUGGCCGUGGGACGGACAAGAACUUUAUCUUCAGCUGAACUAAGAAAAAGUCCUGCAACAUUUUUGGCGCGCAAUGUGGGGGCACCAGAAGCGAAAGAACACCCCCUCUUAAACAUGGAGAUCGUUAUAUAGAAUGUCCAAGGCAAAUUAAGGAAAAUAAUUAUUGUAGCUGAUGAAGCAGAAACCCUAUUAGAGCUAAAUGCUACUUCAC
rnacentral:lncRNA from 10 species